GGGAUUUGACAAGCUGGCUUCCAUAGCAUUUUUCAAACUAUAAGUCUUGAUCCCUUUGUAACUCCUGAAAUAAUUUUUUUGUAAAUUUAUUUUUAUUGGUAUUAUAAAGGAGAUGUACAGAGGGGUUCUAGUUACAUAUGUCAGGUAAAGAGUACAUUUCCUUUUGGACAAUGUUAUUCUUUCUUCUGUCUCCCAGUUCUUCCCUUCCAUUCCCACCCUUAGGUCGUGUAGUUCAUCUUCCACAUGGCAUCCAGUGAGCACCACUACUGCAUUUGUUCACUCUUGGUCUCUAUUUCUGUGCCCGCUCUUACUGAGGUCAGAGCAGCAGUGACUUUCCCACCUUUCCACGACUAUCCUGGACCCCAGGGAGAUGGACACACUGGAGCCCUGGCUGCAGGAUCUGUGCAGAUCAAGGCAGACAUGACAGGGUGAGCCGGGGCCAGCAGCGGCCCAGCAGGAGCCCUCAGAAGACAGUCUGCUCACCUCAAACUUCUCCUUGAAUGGUGAUGAAAAAUCUAGCCACCCUUGCUGCACAAUGGCAGGGCCAAGUUGAGUGAGCAAUGGCGCCUGCGCACGUGUGGGUUCUUCAGUGAUUCCUGCUCCGAGAUGUUGUCGGGUGCCGUCGGUACCACCCUCCAGCCUGUGCUUCAGACUGCCCGAGCUCCCGGCCUCCCCUACCCGGGCUGUGACACCAGGUCACAGCCUUCGCCAUGCCCCUCACCAAGAAAGGGUGUGACCAUUGUUCUCUUUCUGUCCCUGUGACCUGGCCAGGAAAUCAGUGCUCUGAUGUGUUUGUGGAAUGGAUAAAAUCUUAACUUCCUGGAAGUAGGGACUGGAUUUUUCUCUUCCUUGCCAAUUCCUCAUCCUAGUCCUGCCGAGAGCUGACCACCUAUGGGCCUUAUUGUAU